rnacentral:rRNA from 1 species
AGAGUUUGAUCCUGGCUCAGAUUGAACGCUGGCGGCAUGCCUUACACAUGCAAGUCGAACGGCAGCAUGAUCUAGCUUGCUAGAUUGAUGGCGAGUGGCGAACGGGUGAGUAAUACAUCGGAACGUGCCCUGUAGUGGGGGAUAACUAGUCGAAAGAUUAGCUAAUACCGCAUACGACCUGAGGGUGAAAGUGGGGGACCGCAAGGCCUCAUGCUAUAGGAGCGGCCGAUGUCUGAUUAGUUAGUUGGUGGGGUAAAGGCCCACCAAGGCGACGAUCAGCAGCUGGUCUGAGAGGAUCAUCCCUCACACUGGGCCUGACACCCCCCCCACACUCCUACGGGAGGUAG